rnacentral:tRNA from 1 species
GGAAUUGUGGCUCAGUGGUAGAGCACUCACCUAGCAUGUGUGAGGCACUGGGUUAGAUCCUUAGCACCA